ACGCUCGACACCUACGGGAGACAGCAGUCGGGAAUAUUGCGCAAUGGAGGAAACUCUGACGCAGUGACGCCGCGUAUGGGAAGAAGGUUUUCGGAUUGUAAACCAUUUUAGACAAGGAAGAAACAAGACAGUACUUGUAGAAUAAGCUCCGGCUAACUACGUGCCAACAGCCGCGGUAAUCUGAGCGGGCUGGCAAGGC
rnacentral:rRNA from 1 species